UUUUGUGUGGUUGGUGGUGAUGUGCGUGGGAUCUUCGUUGGUAGUAGCCAAGUGAUGGGGUGACGCAGUGAGGUAGCUGAGCCAUGUAGUGGAUUGUGGUGUAAGCGUGUGGCCCGUGGCAUAGGUAAAUCCGUGUCGCAUAGUGGGUGAGGCGUGAUGCGUAGACCUUUGUGGUUGAUGUUGGUGAUCCUGUACUGUCGAGAAAAGCCUCUAGCGAGUGCAUAUAUGGCCCGUACCCAUAACCGACACAGGUGGUCAGGUAGAGAAUACUAAGGCGAUCGGGUGAACUGUGGUUAAGGAACUCGGCAAAUUGCCCCCGUAACUUCGGGAGAAGGGGGACCAUUGCUGGUGACCGACGUGGUUGAGCUGGUGGUGGUCGCAGAGAAUAGAGGGAAGCGACUGUUUAUUAAAAACACAGGUCCGUGCGAAAACGUGGAAGUUGAUGUAUACGGACUGACGCCUGCCCGGUGCUGGAAGGUUAAGAGGACCUGUUAGGGCAUUGUUGUCCGAAGCGGAGAAUUUAAGCCCCAGUAAACGGCGGUGGUAACUAUAACCAUCCUAAGGUAGCGAAAUUCCUUGUCGGGUAAGUUCCGACCUGCACGAAUGGCGUAACGACUUCCCUGCUGUCUCAACCACAGGCCCGGUGAAAUUGCAGUACGAGUAAAGAUGCUCGUUACGCGCGGCAGGACGAAAAGACCCCGGGACCUUCACUAUAGCUUGGUAUUGGUGUUUGGUUCGGUUUGUGUAGGAUAGGUGGGAGACUGUGAAGUGGUCACGCUAGUGGUUGUGGAGUCGAAAGUUGAAAUACCACUCUGAUCGGAUUGAGCACCUUAACCUUGGCCCAUGAUCUGGGUUGGGGACAGUGCCUGGUGGGUAGUUUAACUGGGGCGGUUGCCUCCUAAAGUGUAACGGAGGCGCCCAAAGGUUCCCUCAGCCUGGUUGGCAAUCAGGUGGUGAGUGUAAGUGCACAAGGGAGCUUGACUGUGAGACUGACAGGUCGAGCAGGGACGAAAGUCGGGACUAGUGAUCCGGCAUCUACUUGUGGAAGUGGUGUCGCUCAACGGAUAAAAGGUACCCCGGGGAUAACAGGCUGAUCUUCCCCAAGAGUCCAUAUCGACGGGAUGGUUUGGCACCUCGAUGUCGGCUCGUCGCAUCCUGGGGCUGGAGUAGGUCCCAAGGGUUGGGCUGUUCGCCCAUUAAAGCGGCACGCGAGCUGGGUUUAGAACGUCGUGAGACAGUUCGGUCUCUAUCCGCCGCGCGCGUUGAAACUUGAAGAAGGCUGUCCCUAGUACGAGAGGACCGGGACGGACGUACCUCUAGUGUGCCAGUUGUCACGCCAGUGGCAGGGCUGGUUGGCUACGUACGGGAGGGAUAACCGCUGAAAGCAUCUAAGCGGGAAGCCUGUUUUGAGAUGAGGUUUCUUUUGAGGUUCCCUCUAGACUAGGGGGUUGAUAGGCCAGAUCUGGAAGCGUAGUAAUGCGUUAAGGUGACUGGUACUAAUAUGACCGAGUAAUAACAUUGU
rnacentral:rRNA from 1 species